rnacentral:rRNA from 1 species
AGAGUUUGAUCCUGGCUCAGAAUGAACGUUGGCGGCGUGGAUUAGGCAUGCAAGUCGAACGGUAAGGUUACUUAGCUUGCUUUGUAACCCUAGAGUGGCGAAAGGGAUAGUACAAUGUAGAUCAUAUACCCUCAGGUUGGGGAUAGCGUCUGGAAACGGGCGGUAAUACCCGAUAACAUCUCCGGAUCAAAGGUGAGAUUCCGCCUGAGGAUUAGUUUACACACUAUUAGCUUGUUGGCGGGGUAAUGGCCCACCAAGGCGACGAUGGUUACCGGGCGUGAGAGCGUGACCCGGAUCACUGGGACUGAGACACUGCCCAGACACCUACGGGUGGCUGCAGUCGAGAAUCUUCGGCAAUGGACGAAAGUCUGACCGAGCGACGCCGCGUGUAUGAUGAAGGCCUUCGGGUUGUAAAAUACUGUCGAUUAGGCGGAAGUGUAUAGGGGUUCUCCCUUAUACUUGACCUAUCAUUGGAGGAAGGACGGGCUAAGUUCGUGCCAGCAGCCGCGGUAAGACGAACUGUCCAAACGUUAUUCGGAAUCACUGGGCUUAAAGGGUGCGUAGGCGGACCUGCAAGUGGGAUCUGAAAUCCCUCGGCUCAACCGAGGAACUGGGUCCCAAACUGCCGGACUAGAGUGAGACAGGGGUAAGUGGAACUUGCGGUGGAGCGGUGAAAUGCUUUGAUAUCGCAAGGAACACCGGUGGCGAAGGCGACUUACUGGGGUCUUAACUGACGCUGAAGCACGAAAGCCAGGGUAGCGAACGGGAUUAGAUACCCCGGUAGUCCUGGCUGUAAACUCUGAGUACUUGGUCGGAGGGGCCUCCAUACCUUUCCGGCCGUAGCGAAAGUUUUAAGUACUCCGCCUGGGGAGUAUGGUCGCAAGGCUGAAACUCAAGGAUUUGACGGGGGCUC